GAGUUCGGGCCGCACGCGCGUUACACUGACAGAGCCAGCGAGUACUUCCUUGACAGAAAUGUCCGGGUAAUCUUGUUAAACUCUGUCGUGCUGGGGAUAGAGCAUUGCAAUUAUUGCUCUUCAACGAGGAAUCCCUAGUAAGCGCAAGUCAUCAGCUUGCGUUGAUUACGUCCCUGCCCUUUGUACACACCGCCCGUCGCUACUACCGAUUGAAUGGCUCAGUGAGGCUUCCGGACUGGCCCAGGGGAGUCGGCAACGACACCCCAGGGCCGGAAAGCUAUCCAAACUCGGUCAUUUAGAGGAAGUAAAAGUCGUAACAAGGUCUCCGUAGGUGAACCUGCGGAGGGAUCAUUACUGAGUUUUUAACUCUCCAAACCAUGUGAACUUACCACUGUUGCCUCGGUGGAUGGUGCUGCUCCCUAGCGGGGUGGUGCUGCCGCCGGUGGACAAACUAAACUCUUGUUAAUUUUUGGCAUUCUGAAUCAAAUCAAGAAAUAAGUUAAAACUUUCAACAACGGAUCUCUUGGUUCUGGCAUCGAUGAAGAACGCAGCGAAAUGCGAUAAGUAAUGUGAAUUGCAGAAUUCAGUGAAUCAUCGAAUCUUUGAACGCACAUUGCGCCCAUUAGUAUUCUAGUGGGCAUGCCUGUUCGAGCGUCAUUUCAACCCUUAAGCCUAACUUAACGUUGGGAGACUGCACUAAACCGCA
rnacentral:rRNA from 1 species